GAAUGCUGACAUAAGUAACGAUAAAGCGGGUGAAAAGCCCGCUCGCCGGAAGACCAAGGGUUCCUGUCCAACGUUAAUCGGGGCAGGGUGAGUCGACCCCUAAGGCGAGGCCGAAAGGCGUAGUCGAUGGGAAACGGGUUAAUAUUCCCGUACUUGGUGUUACUGCGAAGGGGGGACGGAGAAGGCUAUGUUGGCCGGGCGACGGUUGUCCCGGUUUAAGCGUGUAGGUGUGUGUUCCAGGUAAAUCCGGUUCACUUUAACACUGAGGCGUGACGACGAGGCACUACGGUGCUGAAGCAACAAAUGCCCUGCUUCCAGGAAAAGCCUCUAAGCAUCAGGUAACAUCAAAUCGUACCCCAAACCGACACAGGUGGUCAGGUAGAGAAUACCAAGGCGCUUGAGAGAACUCGGGUGAAGGAACUAGGCAAAAUGGUGCCGUAACUUCGGGAGAAGGCACGCUGACACGUAGGUGAAGUGAUUUACUCAUGGAGCUGAAGUCAGUCGAAGAUACCAGCUGGCUGCAACUGUUUAUUAAAAACACAGCACUGUGCAAACACGAAAGUGGACGUAUACGGUGUGACGCCUGCCCGGUGCCGGAAGGUUAAUUGAUGGGGUCAGCGCAAGCGAAGCUCCUGAUCGAAGCCCCGGUAAACGGCGGCCGUAACUAUAACGGUCCUAAGGUAGCGAAAUUCCUUGUCGGGUAAGUUCCGACCUGCACGAAUGGCGUAAUGAUGGCCAGGCUGUCUCCACCCGAGACUCAGUGAAAUUGAACUCGCUGUGAAGAUGCAGUGUACCCGCGGCAAGACGGAAAGACCCCGUGAACCUUUACUAUAGCUUGACACUGAACAUUGAGCCUUGAUGUGUAGGAUAGGUGGGAGGCUUUGAAGUGUGGACGCCAGUCUGCAUGGAGCCGACCUUGAAAUACCACCCUUUAAUGUUUGAUGUUCUAACGUGGACCCGUUACCCGGGUUGCGGACAGUGUCUGGUGGGUAGUUUGACUGGGGCGGUCUCCUCCUAAAGAGUAACGGAGGAGCACGAAGGUUGGCUAAUCCUGGUCGGACAUCAGGAGGUUAGUGCAAUGGCAUAAGCCAGCUUGACUGCGAGCGUGACGGCGCGAGCAGGUGCGAAAGCAGGUCAUAGUGAUCCGGUGGUUCUGAAUGGAAGGGCCAUCGCUCAACGGAUAAAAGGUACUCCGGGGAUAACAGGCUGAUACCGCCCAAGAGUUCAUAUCGACGGCGGUGUUUGGCACCUCGAUGUCGGCUCAUCACAUCCUGGGGCUGAAGUAGGUCCCAAGGGUAUGGCUGUUCGCCAUUUAAAGUGGUACGCGAGCUGGGUUUAGAACGUCGUGAGACAGUUCGGUCCCUAUCUGCCGUGGGCGCUGGAGAACUGAGGGGGGCUGCUCCUAGUACGAGAGGACCGGAGUGGACGCAUCACUGGUGUUCGGGUUGUCAUGCCAAUGGCACUGCCCGGUAGCUAAAUGCGGAAGAGAUAAGUGCUGAAAGCAUCUAAGCACGAAACUUGCCCCGAGAUGAGUUCUCCCUGAGACUUAAAGUCUCCUGAAGGAACGUUGAAGACGACGACGUUGAUAGGCCGGGUGUGUAAGCGCAGCGAUGCGUUGAGCUAACCGGUACUAAUGAACCGUGAGGCUUAACCUUACAACGCCGAA
rnacentral:rRNA from 1 species